UACGUAGGCAGCGAGCGUUGUUCGGAGUUACUGGGCGUAAAGGGCGCGUAGGUGGCGACCCAAGUCAACGGUGAAAGCUCGACGCUCAACGUCGAGUCGGCCGUCGAUACUGGGUUGCUCGAGCACUGUAGAGGCAGAUGGAAUUCCGGGUGUAGCGGUGGAAUGCGUAGAGAUCCGGAAGAACACCGGUGGCGAAGGCGGCCUGCUGGGCAGUUUGGCUGACACUGAGGCGCGACAGCGUGGGGAGCAAACAGG
rnacentral:rRNA from 1 species